UGCACCAGCACAAUUGCACAAAUCAACAAAUAAAAUACGUCAAGUUUGUCAAAACAAUUUGCAGAGUUACAGUCUUACAGACAAGUGAGACAAUCAGACAUGAGACAACUAAAACAAUUCAAUAUUCAACUCUUCAACUUCAAGUAUUGGACUUAUUAAACUCACCAAUCACCAAUGCACACUGCUGGCUGCUCGGCCUUGC
rnacentral:lncRNA from 1 species